UGAGGAAUAUUGGUCAAUGGGCGGGAGUCUGAACCAGCCAAGCCGCGUGAGGGAAGAAGGCCCUAUGGGUCGUAAACCUCUUUUGUCAGGGAACAAAAGCGAGUAUGUAUACUGGUCUGAGUGUACCUGAAGAAAAAGCAUCGGCUAACUCCGUGCCAGCAGCCGCGGUAAUACGGAGGAUGCGAGCGUUAUCCGGAUUUAUUGGGUUUAAAGGGUGCGUAGGCGGCGGUGCAAGUCAGCGGUAAAAGCCCGGGGCUCAACCCCGGCGAGCCGUUGAAACUGCAGUGCUAGAGAAGGCGAGAGGUACGCGGAAUGCGCAGUGUAGCGGUGAAAUGCUUAGAUAUUGCGCAGAACUCCGAUUGCGAAGGCAGCGUACUGGCGCCUGACUGACGCUGAGGCACGAAAGCGUGGGGAUCGAACAGGAUUAGAUACCC
rnacentral:rRNA from 1 species